GACGAACGCUGGCGGCGUGCUUAACACAUGCAAGUCGAACGAAGUGGCGAACGGGUGAGUAACGCGUAAUCAACCUGCACUUCAGAGGGGGAUAACAGUUGGAAACGACUGCUAAUACCGCAUACUGAAGGAGGGGAGUGCGUCGGGUUUGGUAGUUGGAGGGGUAACGGCCCACCAAGGCUAUGAUCAGUAGCCGGUCUGAGAGGCUGAACGGCCACAAUGGGACUGGGACACGGCCCAGACGCUUACGGGAGGCAGCAGUGGGGAAUCUUCCGGAAUGGACGAAAGUCUGACGGAGCAACGCCGCGUGAGUGAUGACGGCCGUCGGGUUGUAAAGCUCUGUUAAUCGGGACGCGGUACCGGAAUAGAAAGCCACGGCUAACUACGUGCCAGCCGCCGCGGUAAUUC
rnacentral:rRNA from 1 species